AGCGGCGGACGGGUGAGUAACACGUGGGCAACCUGCCUUUCAGACUGGGAUAACCCCGGGAAACCGGGGCUAAUACCGGAUAACCAGCCGGUUCGCAUGAACCGGCUGUAAAAGAGGGGAGUUUUCUCCUCUCACUGAAAGAUGGGCCCGCGGCGCAUUAGCUAGUUGGUAAGGUAGUGGCUUACCAAGGCGACGAUGCGUAGCCGACCUGAGAGGGUGAUCGGCCACACUGGAACUGAGACACGGUCCAGACUCCUACGGGAGGCAGCAGUAGGGAAUCAUCCGCAAUGGGCGAAAGCCUGACGGUGCAACGCCGCGUGAACGACGAAGGUUUUCGGAUCGUAAAGUUCUGUUGUGAGGGAAGAACACGUGCCGGUCAAACAGGCCGGCACCUUGACGGUACCUCACGAGAAAGCCCCGGCUAACUACGUGCCAGCAGCCGCGGUAAUACGUAGGGGGCAAGCGUUGUCCGGAAUUAUUGGGCGUAAAGCGCGCGCAGGCGGUCUUGUAAGUCUGAUGUGAAAGCCCACGGCUCAACCGUGGAGGGUCAUUGGAAACUGCAGGACUUGAGUGUAGGAGAGGAAAGUGGAAUUCCACGUGUAGCGGUGAAAUGCGUAGAUAUGUGGAGGAACACCAGUGGCGAAGGCGACUUUCUGGCCUACAACUGACGCUGAGGCGCGAAAGCGUGGGGAGCAAACAGGAUUAGAUACCCUGGUAGUCCACGCCGUAAACGAUGAGUGCUAGGUGUUAGGGGUUUCGAUGCCCUUAGUGCCGAAGUUAACACAUUAAGCACUCCGCCUGGGGAGUACGGCCGCAAGGCUGAAACUCAAAGGAAUUGACGGGGGCCCGCACAAGCAGUGGAGCAUGUGGUUUAAUUCGACGCAACGCGAAGAACCUUACCAGGUCUUGACAUCCGUUGACCGCUCU
rnacentral:rRNA from 1 species